GUUAACUCCACCUCUAGAGGGCAUUUCCGUGUCCCUAGCACAGGAAACCUGUGCUAGAGCGUCGCUGGACGUCCUCACGCUGUGUGAGGACCUCCAGCGUCGCUCAUUUCACAUUGCCGUGCAUGCGCAUUAGGUCUCCCCGGCCGGUGGGCAGGAUCAGUCUUGCCCACCGGCCAACGUAAUACAGAGGAGGAGCGGAGGAAGAAGCAGCGACAUAGGACAUCAUCGCU